rnacentral:rRNA from 1 species
UGGGGGAUAUUGCACAAUGGAGGAAACUCUGAUGCAGCGACGCCGCGUGAGUGAAGAAGUAUUUCGGUAUGUAAAGCUCUAUCAGCAGGGAAGAUAAUGACAGUACCUGACUAAGAAGCCCCGGCUAACUACGUGCCAGCAGCCGCGGUAAUACGUAGGGGGCAAGCGUUAUCCGGAUUUACUGGGUGUAAAGGGAGCGUAGACGGAACGGCAAGUUUGAAGUGAAAUACCUGGGCUUAACCCGGGAACUGCUUUUGAAACUGUGGAGCUAGAGUGCAGGAGGGGCAAGUGGAAUUCCUAGUGUAGCGGUGAAAUGCGUAGAUAUUAGGAGGAACACCAGUGGCGAAGGCGGCUUGCUGGACUGUAACUGACACUGAGGCUCGAAAGCGUGGGGAGCAAACAGGAUUAGAUACCCUGGUAGU